rnacentral:rRNA from 1 species
GAUGAACGCUGGCGGCGUGCCUAAUACAUGCAAGUCGAGCGAACGGACGAGAAGCUUGCUUCUCUGAUGUUAGCGGCGGACGGGUGAGUAACACGUGGAUAACCUACCUAUAAGACUGGGAUAACUUCGGGACACCGUAGCUAAUACCGGAGAAUAUUUUGAACCGCAUGGUUCAAAAGUGAAAGACGGUCUUGCUGUCACUUAUAGAUGGAUCCGCGCUGCAUUCGCUAGUUGGUAAGGUAACGGCUUACCAAGGCAACGAUGCAUAGCCGACCUGAGAGGGUGAUCGGCCACACUGGAACUGAGACACGGUCAAGGCUACUACGGGAGGCAGCAGUCGGGAAUCUUCCGCAAUGGGCGAAAGCCUGACGGAGCAACGCCGCGUGAGUGAUGACGGUCUUCGGAUCGUAAAGCUGUGUUAUUAGGGAAGAACAUAUGUGUAAGUAACUGUGCACAUCUUGACGGUACCUAAUAAGAAAGCCACGGCUAACUACGUG